rnacentral:rRNA from 1 species
GACGAACGCUGGCGGCGUGCUUAACACAUGCAAGUCGAGCGGAAAGGCCCUUCGGGGUACUCGAGCGGCGAACGGGUGAGUAACACGUGAGUAACCUGCCCCGAUGACCGGGACGAACCCGAGGAAACGUCGGGCGUAAUACCGGAUGUGGUACAUGGACUUAAGCCUGUGUACUAAAGGAAGCUUCGGCCUCCGCAUUGGGAGGGGCUCGCGGCCCAUUAGCUUGUUGGUGGGUAACGGCCUACCAAGGCAACGAUGGUAGCUGGUCUGAGAGGACGAUCAGCCACACUGGGACUGAGACACGGCCCAGACUCCUACGGGAGGCAGCAGGUGGGGAAUCUUGCGCAAUGCGCGAAAGCGUGACGCAGCAACGCCGCGUGGGGAA